AAAAAGAUAAAAUAAAUAAUAAUAGGGGUACACUAUCAUUACAAGAGGUAAAAUAAUUAAAAACUAAAGAAAAAAAAAGAAAAAAAGAAAUAAUAAGAAAAUAAUAAAUAAUAAAUAUACAAAAGACAAAAACAAACUGAAAAUUAGGGGUGUAGUUAGAAAAAUCCUCUAGGCCCAAAGAAGGGAACUCAUAGGAACGCACUGAGCAAUUAGGGAUGUGGAUGAG
rnacentral:lncRNA from 1 species